GACGAACGCUGGCGGCGUGCUUAACACAUGCAAGUCGAACGGAAAGGCCCUGCUUUUGUGGGGUGCUCGAGUGGCGAACGCGUGAGUAACACGUGAGUAACCUGCCCUUGACUUUGGGAUAACUUCAGGAAACUGGGGCUAAUACCGGAUAGGAGCUCCUGCUGCAUGGUGGGGGUUGGAAAGUUUCGGCGGUUGGGGAUGGACUCGCGGCUUAUCAGCUUGUUGGUGGGGUAGUGGCUUACCAAGGCUUUGACGGGUAGCCGGCCUGAGAGGGUGACCGGCCACAUUGGGACUGAGAGACGGCCCAGACUCCUACGGGAGGCAGCAGGGGGGAAUAUUGCACAAUGGGCGGAAGCCUGAUGCAGCAACGCCGCGUGCGGGAUGACGGCCUUCGGGUUGUAAACCGCUUUCGCCUGUGACGAAGCGUGAGUGACGGUAAUGGGUAAAGAAGCACCGGCUAACUACGUG
rnacentral:rRNA from 1 species